CGCCGCGUGAGUGAUGAAGGCUUUCGGGUCGUAAAACUCUGUUGUUAGGGAAGAACAAGUGCUAGUUGAAUAAGCUGGCACCUUGACGGUACCUAACCAGAAAGCCACGGCUAACUACGUGCCAGCAGCCGCGGUAAUACGUAGGUGGCAAGCGUUAUCCGGAAUUAUUGGGCGUAAAGCGCGCGCAGGUGGUUUCUUAAGUCUGAUGUGAAAGCCCACGGCUCAACCGUGGAGGGUCAUUGGAAACUGGGAGACUUGAGUGCAGAAGAGGAAAGUGGAAUUCCAUGUGUAGCGGUGAAAUGCGUAGAGAUAUGGAGGAACACCAGUGGCGAAGGCGACUUUCUGGUCUGUAACUGACACUGAGGCGCGAAAGCGUGGGGAGCAAACAGGAUUAGAUACCCUGGUAGUCCACGCCGUAAACGAUGAGUGCUAAGUGUUAGAGGGUUUCCGCCCUUUAGUGCUGAAGUUAACGCAUUAAGCACUCCGCCUGGGGAGUACGGCCGCAAGGCUGAAACUCAAAGGAAUUGACGGGGGCCCGCACAAGC
rnacentral:rRNA from 1 species